rnacentral:rRNA from 1 species
AGUGAACGCUGGCGGCAUGCCUAACACAUGCAAGUCGAACGAAAACACAGUAAGCUCUCGCCUCUAAGGGUGGCGAGUGGCGGACGGGUGACGCAUACAUAGGAUUCCUCUUAUUCUGGGAGGAUAACGGAGGACAACUUCUGCUAACACCGCAUAUGUCGUACGGCAUAGAUCAGUGGUUCAUGGCGCUUUGGCUGACUGUAUUAGCCGAUGCCGAAUUAGCUAGUUGGCGAGGUAAAGGCCCACCAAGGCAACGAUACGUAGCUGGUCUGAGAGGAUGAUCAGCCACACUGGAACUGAGACACGGUCCAGACUCCUACGGGAGGCAGCAGUAGGGAAUAUUCCACAACGGGCGCAAGCCUGAUGCAGCCAUACCGCGUGAGUGAUGAAGGCCUUCGGAUUGUAAAGCCCUGUUAUUAGGAAAGAACAACAGCGGGUGUAACCCCCGCCGUUCUGACGGUACCCAAAGAAUAAGCACCGGCUAACUUCGUG